AAAUUGAAGAGUUUGAUCAUGGCUCAGAUUGAACGCUGGCGGCAGGCCUAACACAUGCAAGUCGAACGGUAACAGGAAG
rnacentral:rRNA from 16 species